rnacentral:rRNA from 1 species
AGCGAACGCUGGCGGCAGGCCUAACACAUGCAAGUCGAACGAACUCUUCGGAGUUAGGGGCGGACGGGUGAGGAACACGGGGGAACGUGCCCUUAGGUUCGGAAUAACUCAGGGAAACUUGUGCUAAUACCGAAUGUGCCCUUCGGGGGAAAGAGUUAUCGCCUUUAGAGCGGCCCGCGUCUGAUUAGCUGGUUGGGGAGGUAAAGGCUCACCAAGGCGACGAUCAGGAGCUGGUCUGAGAGGAUGCUCCGCCACAGUGGGACUGCGACCCGGCCCAAACUCCUACGGGGGGCAGCAGUGGGGAAUCUUGCGCGCUGAGCGAAGGCCUGACGCAGCCAUGCCGCGUGAAUGAUGCAGCUCUUAGGAUUGUACAAUUCUUUCUCCGGAAACGAUAGUGACGGUACCCGGUGAAGAAGCCCCGGCUAACUUCGUG